UUGGAAGUUUAGGGAGGGGUUUUUCCGCUGUAAAAAGAAGUUUUCUUUCCACACACAACGGACACUAAUGUUUUUGUCACUCUUUAUGGAAUCAAACUCAAAGUAAGCCCCACUGUAGCAGCUUCUCCAUAGACCGUAGUACACCAAUUGCUUUGGGAGGAAGCCAGCAGAUUGUUACUCCUGCUGAACCAUCAACACAUCCGGUACCACAGUGGAAUCCCCCUCCAGUGGAACGUCAUUCUCUAGAUAAUAGUGACCGUGCUGGUGAGGAAUUCCUGAGAUGCAUUGCAGCCAACAAACCUCUCCCAAACUAUCUGAAAGGCAACAUGGCAUACAACCUGGCUGACGCAUUUAAGUCAGCUAGUAUCUUGAAAGAAGCAGUCAAAUCAGACCGUGAAUUCCAGAAGCAUGUGCCUAGAAGCAAGAGCCGUAGUCGAAGCAGAAGCCGAGGCAGGUCUCGAGCCAAGAGUCGCGGUCGAAGCAAAAGCAGAGUACGCAGCCGAAGCAGGGGAAGAAGCAAAACUCAAGCCUGUGGGAAGAGUCGAGCUAGAAGCAAAAGUAGGGCUCGCAGUAGGAGUCGGAGCAACAGUCGAAGUGAGAAAAAAAGUCAUGUACGGAGCAAGAGUCGAGCAAGGCGAUCCAAGUCACGAAGUAGCAGUAGUGAAAAGAGCCGAGGCAAAGGCAAAAAGAAAAACAGGAGCCCCGGACUCAUCACUGUCAACAGCAGUAAUAAUCUGCCAGGAAAUAGUCUAUUAGAAGGAUUGAAGCUGGUUAUGAGCAGCCAAGAUUUGGAAGAUCACCUGCCAUCUCUCAAAGAUAUCAUCCUCACUAUUAAGGCUCCAGAUGAGGGCAAAAAAGUUGAGUGUGUAUCUAAUGAGCCUACACACAUGGAACAUGACAGUCAAGACAGUUUAUCAAUGCUGGAAAAGGAAAGCAUGCUGCUUCCGCAUGAAAGAGUUGGUGGUGAUUUCUCAUGGCUUCAAGGACAAAGUCAAGAAGAUGCUGCAUACCAGAAAGCUAAUGAACUUGAAGAUGAAGAGUCUUUCUUGUAUGGGAAUGAACCAGCUUCCCAGAUUAAUGAAAAGGCCAAACUACAGAAAGAGAGUAGUUCCCUUUCCACUCGUUGUGGACAUCUUCUUGAUCCAAAUCAGUCCCUGCAGUUGGCUUCUUCAACUUUAGUCCACUCCAAUCUGGACAACAUGGAAUAUGAGAAAAUCAAGACCAUAUUAAAAAGCCUGGGUUCAUCAAGUGAGAUCAAGGUGAAGACGCAGGGUCAGAAUGAGCAGGAGUCAUCUCCUACACUUGUCAAUUCAGACAAAGCAGCAGCAACUUUAGCAUUGCCAGCACUCAAUAACCCAAAUGUACGUCAGGCUCUGGAGUCUCUGCAAUCUCUGAUCAAAGCUACAAAGGAGAAACGAACAAAAAGUGACUGCGCAUCUCAAGCAUCUGAUAAACAUAAGGAGGGUGACAGUGAGGAAAGGAAGAGAGAGAAACAAGAGAAAGUAAAUAAAAUGGAGUCUUUGGCCAAAGAACUGGAUGAACUGUUAAAACAAGAUGGACUGGGUUUUAUAACUCCAGUUACUGGCUUUUACUGCCAGAACUGUGAGGAGUUCAUUGGAGAUUUGAAGUCUGCUGAAAACCAUGCAGCUAUCCGCCAUCAUAGUAACUCUAUUGCAAAAGAACAGACGGACAGGCACUCUAAAGACAUCAAAGGACACCCACAUCAUUACAGUCCCUCCAGUAAUCGACACCCUGACCCCCCAGACAGGAGAGAUCACAGGGGUUAUGGUUACCGCGGGGAUUCAGGAAACCACCGGAAUAGCACAGACCAUCUACGGAAUUGGAAGGAUGGCAAAGAUUUCAGAAGCCGAUACCAUGAUGAUGACCACAAAAGUCACAAGGAUAGAGAUAAAAACAUCUUCUUGAAAGAGGAAAUGAAAAAGGAGCGAAUGUUUAUAACAGUCUCCGAUGGACUGACACCUUCAACUUCUAACAUCAGGGUCAAGGAGGAGGUGGACAAGGAGAAGGCCACUGGAAGCCAUGGUAAAGUUAAAGCGAAAGACCUAGAAUCAUCCAAGGAAAAGAAAGGCAGCAUUGAAAAUGAUCAAUACAGUGAUAGCACUGAUGAUGACGGAAAAUCACCUAAAACAAAAAAGAAUAAAAAGAAAAAGAAGAAGAAGGAGAAGGAGAAGGAGAAAAAGAAUAAGAAUAAGAAACAGAAGGAGAAGUCUUAGGUGUUAUUUUGUCCUUGUCAUAUAACUCUGGGAUGAUGGUAGCAGCUUAUUUCUGGACUGAUUUUCUAACAUAGUUUUCUCACUUUCUUUUCCUCCACCCAAUUGUUUUUUGUUACUGUCAUUAGAAGAGGAAGGUAGACCUCAGAGUGAUUCAUCAUGUAUGAAGGAAUAGACUGAUAUGUUAGGAAGCACGUUUGUUGGUGGUCUUUCUCUAAAAGAAGAUUAGUAUUACUUUUGUCUUUGUGUAUCUAGUACAGUGGUCUUUACCUCACUUAGAACUAAGAUUGAUUUUUCUCAGUUAAUUCAGGUAUUUUUCCCCCACUUCAGACAGCGUGUUUGCUCGGUCAAAUUAAUUCUCAUGUGGAAUGAAAUGUUCUCAUGUGUUCCUCAGUAAACAGGCAAACAAAAACCUUUUCCAAGACGUCUGUUCCUUUUACACAUUCUGCACAGUUUUCAGCACUGUAUUAAAGUCUGCCACGUUUCAGGUAUGGCAUCACAUCUUGGUUCUAUUUUUUAAUUAAAUGUUCAAUAAAAUAAGCAGUAAGAAAAUAAGCAGUAAGAAAUUUUUUUCAUUUCAUUGGACCAACAGCAUUGUAGUUUUAGAAAAGGUAUACAUGUAUCUGACAUCUUGUAUUCAUUUUGAUCUCAAAUAAAGACGUAAAAUAAACAAAUGUGUACUAUUCCUUAGUUUUUGGGGUUUUCUUUCUUGAUUUUAUGUUUGAUAUUAUGUUUGAGUGGCUCCCAUCAGGAAGUACAUGUAGACUAUGCUUCCAGGAUGUAGGACACAAAAAAAAGGGUCACUAAUGUCCCUACAGCAUUUCAACAUCUGAACUGUAAGCCUUUCCCACCCCAGUAUUGCAUCCUUUUCUUGCUUCCUUCCCCACACAUUCAGUUCCUUGGUAAUUGAACUGAUCAUUGAAUCUGAACUAUGAUUGGUCAUUUUAUACUGAUGCUUUUAUGUUCUAUGUCUUAUGUGGUGGUCUCUGUGCCUUUUUAAUUGCCCC
ensembl:lncRNA